CCUACGGGCGGCAGCAGUGAGGAAUAUUGGUCAAUGGACAAGAGUCUGAACCAGCCAAGUAGCGUGAAGGAUGACUGCCCUAUGGGUUGUAAACUUCUUUUAUAUGGGAAUAAAAUGUUCCACGUGUGGGAUUUUGUAUGUACCAUAUGAAUAAGGAUCGGCUAACUCCGUGCCAGCAGCCGCGGUAAUACGGAGGAUCCGAGCGUUAUCCGGAUUUAUUGGGUUUAAAGGGAGCGUAGGUGGAUUGUUAAGUCAGUUGUGAAAGUUUGCGGCUCAACCGUAAAAUUGCAGUUGAAACUGGCAGUCUUGAGUACAGUAGAGGUGGGCGGAAUUCGUGGUGUAGCGGUGAAAUGCUUAGAUAUCACGAAGAACUCCGAUUGCGAAGGCAGUUCACUGGACUGCAACUGACACUGAGGCUCGAAAGUGUGGGUAUCAAACAGGAUUAGAUACCCCAGUAGUC
rnacentral:rRNA from 1 species